UUCUCCAAGAAGCUCCAGCUUCAGCUAGUGCAGAUCCAAAGAGUUUGUGAGUCAGGACGUUUCAGCUCGGACAUGACCACCUCACACACACUCAAGCAGCCAAAGUGGAGCAGCACAGGAGGGGCAGGAUUCGGCCAUGAUGAAGAAAGAAACGAACGACAACACACUAACACACGCGAGGUUGAGUGUAUAUGAUCCCGGCACGAUGCGGUUUUGAUUCAAUCUUCGAACGGAAAUUAAGCUG